AUAUUGGUCAAUGGAGGCAACUCUGAACCAGCGACGCCGCGUGAAGGAGGACGGCNCCNNGGGUUNUNAACUUCUUUUAUACANNNNNAAAGAGAGCUACGAGUGGUCUGUUGAGUGUACUGUUGGAUGAGGAACCGGCAGCUCGGUGUCAGAAGCCGCGGUAAUACGGUGGAUCCAAGCGUUACCCGGAUUUAUUGGGUUUAAAGGGUGCGCAGGCGGAAAAUUAAGACGGCGGUGAAAUUUUGCCGGUCAACGGUAAGAGUGCCGUCGAUACUGGUUUUCUUGAGUGUGGAUGAAGUAGGCGGAAUUUGUGGUGUAGCGGUGAAAUGCAUAGAAAUCACGAGGAACUCCGAUUGCGCAGGCAGCUUACUAGGCCAUAACUGACGCUCAGGCACGAAGGCGUGGGGAUCAAACAGG
rnacentral:rRNA from 1 species